CAGAUCAUAGUAGAUAUAAUGAGAAAUAAGCAGACUGCCAAUCCAGCAUUCUACUUUGAUUACCAAGUCGAUGAGAAUGACAAACUUAUAAAUAUUUUCUGGGCGGAUAGCAUAUGCAGAAAGAAUUACUCAUUGUUUGGUGAAGUUUUUUCUUUUGACUCAACAUACCGCUUUAAUAGGUAUAACUUGGUAUUUGCCCCUUUCACAGGAGUUAACAACCACAGAUCUUGUGUCACCUUUGGUGCUGCUUUUUUAUGGAAUGAGAAGAAAGAAUCUUAUAUAUGGUUGUUCAAGACUUUCUUGAAAGCGAUGUCUGGGGUUGCACCUAAGCUCAUCAUGACCGAUGAAGACCAAAGCAUGAGAAUAGGGAUAGAACAGGUUUUUCCAAACACUAUACAUAGGCUUUGUAUGUGGCACAUCCUCAUGAAGCUUACUGAAAAAGUAGGUGCCACCAUGAAAAAUAAUCUAGAUUUCCAUGAACGGUUUAUGUCAUGUGUUUGGGGAUUAGAGACACCAAGUGAGUUUGAGUCACAAUGGUCUUCAAUAAUCUCUGACUUUGGGCUAGCAGAUAAUACAUGGUUGCAGGAGAAGUACGAGUCACGCAACUCAUGGAUUCCAGCAUAG
rnacentral:rRNA from 1 species